GAUGAACGCUAGCGGCAGGCUUAAUACAUGCAAGUCGAGGGGCAGCACAGGUAGCGAAUACUGGGUGGCGACCGGCAAACGGGUGCGGAACACGUACGCAACCUUCCUUCAAAUGGGGGAUAGCCCACCGAAAGGUGGAGUUAAUACCUCGUAACAUAAUGGAGUGGCAUCACUCUAUUAUCAUAGCUCCGGCGUUUGAA
rnacentral:rRNA from 1 species